AAGUGUAAGUACUUGCUARCGUACGAAGUGCAACGCCAACAUGGUCAGUGACGCCUGUAUGGGUGACUGCGAACACGAAUCCACUCUGCGGAUUGCGAGGUUAGCGAGUGGUAAUCGUGAAGUAUACUACAUCAUUCAUUGAGGCCCACGCGAGUYUGGUUUGCCUACUUUUAUUGGACAUUWAAMAUCWWUCGWUAGUUUUCUANAACGUAUUUUKGAUGAUUCGAGAUMACUACUUUGUUUNCGCAGAACCUUUGUGUAGGCGACAUAUCUUUCAAAUGCCUGACUUAUCACACUGUCGAUGGUAGAUUUAUUGUCUACCAUGGUAGUUACGGGUAACGGGGAAUCAGGGUUCGAUUCCGGAGAGGGAGCCUGAGAAACAGCUACCACAUCCAAGGAAGGCAGCAGGCACGCAAAUUACCCAUUUCCAGAACGGAGAGGUAGUGACAAAAAAUAACGAUACGGGACUCUUUUGAGGCCCCGUAAUCGGAAUGAGUACACUUUAAAUCCUUUAACAAGGAUCGAUUGGAGGGCAAGUCUGGUGCCAGCAGCCGCGGUAAUUCCAGCUCCAAUAGCGUAUAUUAAAGUUGUUGCAGUUAAAAAGCUCGUAGUUGGUUUUGCGUUCAACGCUGUCGGUUCGCCGCCUGACGGUGAAACUGGCAUGUUGUUGUACGUCCUGCCGGUGGUAAAUUAUUGCCUGGUGUGUGACAAAAGAACUUUUAGUUUUUUUGUUACUACCUUUGUUGUAAUUGUUUACCGAUAUCCUACCCGGUGCUCUUAAACGAGUGUCGCGGUAGGCCGGCAAAUUUACUUUGAACAAAUUAGAGUGCUUAAAGCAGGCUAAAAAUAUAGCCUGAAUAGUGGUGCAUGGAAUAAUAGAAUAGGACUUUGGUUCUAUUUUGUUGGUUUUCGGGACACAAGGUAAUGAUUAAUGUAGACAAGCGGGGGCAUUCGUAUUGCGGCGUUAGAGGUGAAAUUCUUGGAUCGUCGCAAGACGCACAAAAGCGAAAGCAAUUGCCAAGUAUGUCUUAAUUGAUCAAGAACGAAAGUUAGAGGCCCGAAGGCGAUCARAUACCGCCCUAGUUCUAACCAUAAACGAUGCCAGCCAGCGAUGCGACGUGUUCAUAUUAUGACACGUGCGGGCAGCUUUUACCCGGGAAACCAAAGCUGUUGGGUUCCGGGGGAAGUAUGGUUGCAAAGCUGAAACUUAAAGGAAUUGACGGAAGGGCACCACCAGGAGUGGAGCCUGCGGCUUAAUUUGACUCAACACGGGAAACCUCACCGGGUCAGGACCAUUGUAAGGAUUGACAGAUUGAUAGCUCUUUCUUGAUUACAGUGGGUAGUGGUGCCAUGGCCGUU
rnacentral:rRNA from 1 species